rnacentral:lncRNA from 1 species
GCGUCUAGACUGAACAAGGCACGAACUUUGAGUAGAUCAGGAUAUCAUUAGAAGUAGAAGAAAGAGGCUACCACAUAGUAGUACUUCUAAAGACUUGGUGAAAGUGUGAGGCAAUUUUCACCAGUGAUGGCAGAAAGAAAUGCAAAGACUGGGUGCCCAAAGCUGAAAGACUUUUAAAAAUUUGAAAGAAAUUUUGGAUUUUUAAAGGGACAUGAUAUUUUAUUAAGGAGACAACUUUUAAUGUGUUCAAAUUGAAAUAACUUGGGAGCAAGGUCACAUGGUGUCUAAUUGGCAACAUUAGUCUUGAGGAACCAUUAUUCACAUUAGAAUGCAAACAGCAUCAGGUCAAGCCACUACAUUUUAUACACAGAUCUGUAUUCACCACUGGUCUACAGCAUGUCAUAGGACUCUCCUCAAGCUGUCUGAUGACCAUGUUCCCAACUGAAAUAGCCUCAAGGAAGAAGAUCUGCCCCAAAACUUCCUUAUAUGGUUACCGGCAAGGCUAGAUCCCUACUACAGAGCUCUGACUACAGCAUGACCAUGCGAACUGGAAGACUGUUUCUAUGGAGGAAUCAAUCAAAAACCUGAUUUAACAAAGCAUGUCUGAGACUGUUGACAUAG